rnacentral:lncRNA from 1 species
CGGCGCCCAACCACUCCCCGCGCCCAGCCGCUCCCCGCACCCAGCCCGGCUUCCGGGGCCCAGCCAGGGAGGGCUCCGGGCGGCAUGAGCAGGGACGGCGGGGGCUCCUCCGGCUCCUCCCCGGGCUCCUCCGGCCUCUCCAGGCUCUUCGACGGGACCCACGACGCCGCCCUCGGCGCCUGCCGGCCCACGCCCGAGGUACCGCCAAGUUGAGAGGCAGAGAAGCAGGACCGCAAGAGAGACAUGGCAAGAAAGGAGGUUUGGUCUGGCAGAGCCCAGGAAAACGUUGGGCACCCAAUCUGAAACCAUGCAGAAAGAGCAGCACAGUUGGAAGACGCACAUGGGGACAGGAUGGCAUGGAGAAGAAAUGAGAAGUACAAGAAAAAUGAGAUGGAAGAGAGAGAACACUAACUGCCUAAUUAGUGAUGAAGGAGAUCCAAUUAAUGUAUAUUGAACCUAAGCUCUGAAAACAGAGAACACACC